rnacentral:rRNA from 1 species
UGGGGAAUAUUGCACAAUGGAGGGAACUCUGAUGCAGCAACGCCGCGUGAACGAUGAAGGUCUUCGGAUCGUAAAGUUCUGUUGCAGGGGAAGAUAAUGACGGUACCCUGUGAGGAAGCCCCGGCUAACUACGUGCCAGCAGCCGCGGUAAUACGUAGGGGGCUAGCGUUAUCCGGAUUUACUGGGCGUAAAGGGUGCGUAGGUGGUCUUUCAAGUCGGUGGUUAAAGGCUACGGCUCAACCGUAGUUAGCCUCCGAAACUGGAAGACUUGAGUGCAGGAGAGGAAAGUGGAAUUCCCAGUGUAGCGGUGAAAUGCGUAGAUAUUGGGAGGAACACCAGUAGCGAAGGCGGCUUUCUGGACUGCAACUGACGCUGAGGCUCGAAAGCGUGGGGAGCGAACAGG